GUUGGGCGUGGUGAUGCACGCCUGUAAUCCUAGCUACUUGGGAGGCUGAAACAGGAGAAUUGCUUGAACCCAGGAGGUGGAGGUUGCAGUCAGCCAAGAUCAUGCUGCUGCACUCCAGCCUGGGUGACAGAGCCAGAUUCUGUCUCAA
rnacentral:SRP_RNA from 1 species